GUACGAUAAAACAAUACAAUAAGAGAACCUCAAAGUCAAGUCUUUAAUUAUUAUAUGGUGGGAUUCUAUUUGAAAAAUUCAACUCAGGAAUAAUAGAACUUGAAUUUAAUAUGUUAAUUUUCAUGAAAGUCAUAUUUGUGGUUUUUGUUUUUCCAUUUUAUUUCGAUGUUUUUUUUGUCAGCCCCAAGGAAAAGUUUCCUUCGUGUUUCAAGGAAACCUCCUGGAACUUGCAUGAAUGGGACAUUGCAUGAAUGUUUCCUUCAUGUUUCAAGGAAACUUCCUGGAACUUACAUUAAUGGGACAUUGCAUGAAUAUCUUUUCAAUUUACUAUUUAGGAGCUUAAAAGGAUAUGAAAAAAAUGAUUUGGGAUAUUUUCAUAAAAAUAAAUUGAUCAUAUCAUUUGGGAGCAAAGUUCACAAUAAAUUAAAAAAUUUUAAAUAUAUAUUUUAUUCAUAUUGAGAGUUAUUAAUAUUUUUGUUCACCUUUACUAAAGAGUCGCCUAUAAAAGAUUUUCUUUUACAUGGAAUUUCAUGAUUUUAGGUUGAUUUUUUUAGUCAAGAAAAGCUUCCUUCAUGUUUCAAAAGAAACUUCCCAGAACUUACAUGAAUGGGACAUUGCAUGAUUAUCUAUUGAAUUGUUUUGCACUUACUAUUUAGAGAAAAGUAUUUCAUUGGAGAAUUAUUGUAAAGGGAUGACAGCUAACAAAAAUAAAAUCAAGGAUUUUAAUUCUCCUUCACCGUGGUGAAAUUUCAACCAAAAAAAAAUUAUAACAAAUUUUUAAGUGGAAAUUUGGUUCGUUGAAAGAAUUCAGUCAUCCUCAAAUGAUACUUGUUGGAUUUUUUUUUUAAGACUUCAUUAAUUUCCGAGUUGAUUCAUUGUUAAGUUCAAAGUUUAAUGUAAAUUUGGUCAAACUUUAUUUUCACAAUAAAAUAUCACUCGUAAAUUCUUCGAAUUUUAAACUCAGUUGGAUAACUCAAAUAAUCUUGAAUAAGCUCAAUAAUAUUAUUUCUCAACCCAAAUGAAAAUAUUUAUAAUUUUUAACCAAAUUUAAAUAAAAAAAAGCAUAAAAAUCAAAGACCUUAACCUUAACAAUUGAGAAAGGAAAUUACAAGAAAUAAACAAAUAAAAACAUAACAAUCCCUAAAUCAAAGUUAAAAUUAUUAAAAUGAAAAUGAAGAGUGUAUAUGCAUAUUAGUUCAAGGGAUUGUACCGGUCAAUUCUACAAAGGGAAACAUAAAUCAUAGCUAAGAGCUUAAAAGCUGAAAAGCAGGUUUAAUCUCAGAGAUUGAAUUAUGAAUUUAAUUGAACGUUGCUUAUGGGGAAAAAAAAAAAAAACCAAAGGAGUGUCAAACUUUUCCACAACUCGAAUUCCUAGUGGAAAAUCUGAGCCUUGAAUUUAGUCAUUUUGAAAUGAUUCUUUCGGUUGGAUUCUUUUUCAAAAGUCCUUCGCAAGUAUUUCAAUUUCCAUGAAUGCUUAUUGCCGACAUUACUUGCUUGCAUAUUCAUGGUAUUUGUUUUUCCAUUUUGU
rnacentral:lncRNA from 1 species